CCUACGGGAGGCAGCAGUGGGGAAUUUUGGACAAUGGGCGCAAGCCUGAUCCAGCAAUGCCGCGUGCAGGAUGAAGGCCUUCGGGUUGUAAACUGCUUUUGUACGGAACGAAAAGGCUCUGGCUAAUACCUGGGGCUGAUGACGGUACCGUAAGAAUAAGCACAGGCUAACUACGUGCCAGCAGCCGCGGUAAUACGUAGGGUGCGAGCGUUAAUCGGAAUUACUGGGCGUAAAGCGUGCGCAGGCGGUUUUGUAAGACAGGUGUAAAAUCCCCGGGCUUAACCGGGGAACUGCACUUGGGACUGCAAGGCUGGAGUACGGCAGAGGGGGAUGGAAUUCCGCGUGUAGCAGUGAAAUGCGUAGAUAUGCGGAGGAACACCGAUGGCGAGGGCAGUCCCCUGGGCCUGUACUGACGCUCAUGCACGAAAGCGUGGGGAGCAAACAGGAUUAGAUACCCUGGUAGU
rnacentral:rRNA from 1 species